CUCUCUAAUGACAUGAGGUCCAACAGUCAGACCCCCUCUGUCUCUCUAAUGACAUGAGGUCCAACAGUCAGACCCCCUCUGUCUCUCCAAUGACAUGAGGUCCAACAGUCAGACCCCCUCUGUCUCUCCAAUGACAUGAGGUCCAACAGUCAGACCCCCUCUGUCUCUCCAAUGACAUGAGGUCCAACAGUCAGACCCCCUCUGUCUCUCUAAUGACAUGAGGUCCAACAGUCAGACCCCCUCUGUCUCUCUAAUGACAUGAGGUCCAACAGUCAGACCCCCUCUGUCUCUCUAAUGACAUGAGGUCCAACAGUCAGACCCCCUCUGUCUCUCUAAUGACAUGAGGUCCAACAGUCAGACCCCCUCUGUCUCUCUAAUGACAUGAGGUCCAACAGUCAGACCCCCUCUGUCUCUCUAAUGACAUGAGGUCCAACAGUCAGACCCCCUCUGUCUCUCUAAUGACAUGAGGUCCAACAGUCAGACCCCCUCUGUCUCUCUAAUGACAUGAGGUCCAACAGUCAGACCCCCUCUGUCUCUCUAAUGACAUGAGGUCCAACAGUCAGACCCCCUCUGUCUCUCUAAUGACAUGAGGUCCAACAGUCAGACCCCCUCUGUCUCUCUAAUGACAUGAGGUCCAACAGUCAGACCCCCUCUGUCUCUCUAAUGACAUGAGGUCCAACAGUCAGACCCCCUCUGUCUCUCCAAUGACAUGAGGUCCAUUUGACAGUCAGUUGUCUUGAAUCAACAGUGAUGUGGAGCCAGAGCUGAUGACCAUGUAAAAAGUUUUUUAAAUGAGGUUGAUUGAUUGGUUGAUUGAGUGGUUGAUUGAGUGGUUGAUUGAGUGGUUGAUUGAGUGGUUGAUUGAGUGGUUGAUUGAGUGGUUGAUUGAGUGGUUGAUUGAGUGGUUGAUUGAGUGGUUGAUUGAGUGGUUGAUUGAGUGGUUGAUUGAUUGGUUGGUUGGUUGAUUGAGUUCCCAAUAAGAGGUUCACUUACAGACAAUGUUUGGUGCUUCACAAAUACAAUUGAUUGAUU